GAAAUUGUAGUUUCACAAAUAAAUAGCUUAUGACAUUUCCUUAUAACAUGAAUAAUAAUUUUAUGAAUAAUAAUUUUUCUCAUAUCCUCUAGAGAAUUAAUAACGCGAUAAAACCAUCCAACGGAUCGCUAUAUAAUACUCCUUCUACUUCCAUAGAGUUCAGUUUCAAUUCAAUCGGCACUCAUUCAACUGAGAAUAUGAAAUAUUUGCAACUAAUCCUUAUUGUCCUGGUAGCGUUCCUUGGGCUCUCAAUGAGUUUAAAAAUGCCCAAGUCCAAAAUGGGGAAAGAGUGGAAGUGUCCUCGCAAAGAAAACAACUAUGGCAAACGUAAAGAUCCGAUAUAAACGAUCCGACAUAAAUAUUCCUAAUUAGUACAUACUAACUGCCUCUAUGUACUAUGUAGAAUCUAUGUAAAAUCUAUUUAUUUUCAAUAAACAACUAAGCUGCAAACAUAAAUGAGUGUUUGUAUUCAAAAAUUGUGCUUAUCCCGAUCUUUUAUUUCAGAGAACCUAAGCAAUGAAAAUUCUA